CGGAGGAAAAGAAACUAACAAGGAUUCCCCUAGUAGCGGCGAGCGAAGCGGGAAGAGCUCAAAUUUAUAAUCUGGCACCUUCGGUGUCCGAGUUGUAAUCUCUAGAAAUGUUUUCCGCGUUGGACCGCACACAAGUCUGUUGGAAUACAGCGGCAUAGUGGUGAGACCCCCGUAUAUGGUGCGGACGCCCAGCGCUUUGUGAUACAUUUUCGAAGAGUCGAGUUGUUUGGGAAUGCAGCUCAAAUUGGGUGGUAAAUUCCAUCUAAAGCUAAAUAUUGGCGAGAGACCGAUAGCGAACAAGUACCGUGAGGGAAAGAUGAAAAGCACUUUGGAAAGAGAGUUAACAGUACGUGAAAUUGUUGGAAGGGAAACGCUUGAAGUCAGACUUGCUUGCCGAGCAAUCGGUUUGCAGGCCAGCAUCAGUUUUCCGGGAUGGAUAAUGGUAGAGAGAAGGUAGCAGUUUCGGCUGUGUUAUAGCUCUCUGCUGGAUACAUCUUGGGGGACUGAGGAACGCAGUGUGCCUUUGGCGGGGGUUUCGACCUCUUCACACUUAG
rnacentral:rRNA from 1 species